GGGUCUUUGGAAAUCUAGGGAGAAAAACUUCCUUUCUCCAGAGAUCUAGCUUAGAAGCACCACAGGCUUGGUGAAGAAUAUCCAGAAAUGUGGGUAACUUUUAAAGUUCCCUACAUCAGGGCAAAACUGAGCACUUCUGGCUUCUCUCUUGGGUCUACGGCCAGGUUUCUGCUGAGCCCUCAGCAUUGUUCUGCUGUCAUGAGGGCACCUGGUGUCCACCCAAAAACCUCCUGACCAGUGGUCACAAGAUUGGCAAUGUACCCCACAGAGUCCGUCCUGUGGGGCUGAACAUACGAGGCUUUUCUAGAAAUGAGGUCUAGACUUACUGGAUUUGAAGUUAAAGUGAAGGAUGGAGUCACCGGGCUUACCAUACACCGGGGGAUGGCAGUCCCCAAUUUCUGCCUCCCACCUGCCCCGUACCUACAACAGGCACAUUAGGAGGAGCCAGGCCUCACGUUAAAACCAAAGUGCCCAGCAGAUGCAGGUAUGUGUGUGGGGGGCUAUCUCUCAUAAUUCCUGCCUACUCCAUGCCUACACUCAGCAGGCUUAUCAGCCUGCCACUUUCCUAAGCGAUAGGGCUCGCCCAGUUGUAAUAACAAAAGUAAAUAAAUACAUUUUAAUGAUCCGAUGCUGGUAAUUAACGAAGCUGAAAAACAGAUGUCUCCCUGAAGAGCUCAUAAGGCAGCCUAUUGCAUAAGCUCACCCAUUAUGUGGAUAUGAGUUGAUUAUUAAAAGAAAACAUUUAGCAAAUGCAGAACAGGAUAUUCAUCUGCUAUUACAUAAUGGUAAUAAGCAAUUGAAUUCAAGCAGCGAUAGUCUUCCAGCCCUUACCGAAUGCCGAGUGAAGUGUAUUUAUGGCCUCCGAUGUGAAAUAGUCCUCCUUGUUUUUCCAAGACGAGAAGAGAUCUUUCAAGAGAUAAUAAAGAAAAUAGACUCUAGUUGCUUUAACGUGAAGCAAGAUGAGUCCUCCGGAUUAGUUUGGAUUAGUCUGUUGCUAGUGGCAUGGAGAAGCCUCAAGAUUGUGCCACUGUAUCAAGACCAGGGCUGCUCCGACUGA
rnacentral:lncRNA from 1 species